AUUGAACGCUGGCGGCAGGCCUAACACAUGCAAGUCGAACGAGUGGCGGACGGGUGAGUAAUGUCAGGUAAACUGCCUGAUGGAGGGGGAUAACUACUGGAAACGGUAGAUAAUACCGAAUAACAUCAGAGGUGCCCAGAUGUGAUUAGCUUGUUGGUGGGGUAACGGCGCACCAAGGCGACGAGCCCUAGCUGGUGUGAGAGGAUGCCCAGCCACACUGGAACGGAGACACGGUCCAAGCUCAUUGGGGAGCGAGCCGUAGGGAAUAUUGCACAAUGAGCGCAAGCCUUAUGCAGCCGUGCCGCGUGUAUGACGAAGGCCUUCGGGUUGUAAAGUACUUUCAGCGGGGAGGCGUUACCAGCAGAAGAAGCACCGGCUAACUCCGUGCCAGCAGCCGCGGUAAUAC
rnacentral:rRNA from 1 species